GCAAGUCCGGGCCAGAGGCGUGGGGAGGAGUGAGGUGGCGGGGGUUGUCCGGGUUGAGUGGGCGGAAAGGGCUCGUAGGGGGCUUGUGGGGGCGUUCGUGGAAUUCGACGGCUCGACUGUGGGGUGGCGGGCGAUACGGGGAGGCUGGAGUUCGGUAGGGGAGACUGGAAUUCCUGGUGUAGCGGUGAAAUGCGCAGAUAUCAGGAGGAACACCGGUGGCGAAGGCGGGUCUCUGGGCCGAUACUGACGCUGAGGAGCGAAAGCGUGGGGAGCGAACAGGAUUAGAUAACCCGAGUAGUC
rnacentral:rRNA from 1 species